UGGACCUUCCAAAUAGAGCUAGUCCA
rnacentral:piRNA from 1 species